UUGCUCUGGAGGAACUUAUGUUGUGGAAA
rnacentral:piRNA from 1 species